UGGGGAAUAUUGCACAAUGGGGGAAACCCUGAUGCAGCGACGCCGCGUGAGCGAAGAAGGUUUUCGAAUCGUAAAGCUCUGUCCUAUGAGAAGAUAAUGACGGUAUCAUAGGAGGAAGCCCCGGCUAACUACGUGCCAGCAGCCGCGGUAAUACGUAGGGGGCUAGCGUUGUCCGGAAUCACUGGGCGUAAAGGGUUCGCAGGCGGAAAUGCAAGUCAGGUGUAAAAGGCAGUAGCUUAACUACUGUAAGCAUUUGAAACUGCAUAUCUUGAGAAGAGUAGAGGUAAGUGGAAUUUUUAGUGUAGCGGUGAAAUGCGUAGAUAUUAAAAAGAAUACCGGUGGCGAAGGCGACUUACUGGGCUCAUUCUGACGCUUAAGCUCGAAGGUGCGGGUAUCGAACAGG
rnacentral:rRNA from 1 species